rnacentral:rRNA from 1 species
UAGGGAAUCUUCGGCAAUGGGGGAACCCUGACCGAGCAACGCCGCGUGAGUGAAGAAGGUUUUCGGAUCGUAAAGCUCUGUUGUUAAGGAAGAACGAGUGUGAGAAUGGAAAGUUCAUACUGUGACGGUACUUAACCAGAAAGGGACGGCUAACUACGUGCCAGCAGCCGCGGUAAUACGUAGGUCCCGAGCGCUGUCCGGAUUUAUUGGGCGUAAAGCGAGCGCAGGCGGUUAGAUAAGUCUGAAGUUAAAGGCAGUGGCUCAACCAUUGUAGGCUUUGGAAACUGUUUAACUUGAGUGCAGAAGGGGAGAGUGGAAUUCCAUGUGUAGCGGUGAAAUGCGUAGAUAUAUGGAGGAACACCGGUGGCGAAAAGCGGCUCUCUGGUCUGUAACUGACGCUGAGGCUCGAAAGCGUGGGGAGCGAACAGGAUUAGAUACCCUGGUAGUCCACGCCGUAAACGAUGAGUGCUAGGUGUUAGGUCCUUUCCGGGGACUUAGUGCCGCAGCUAACGCAUUAAGCACUCCGCCUGGGG